rnacentral:tRNA from 1 species
GUUUCCAAAGUGUAGUGGUCAUCAUGUCUGCUUUACAGGCAGAAAGUCCUUGGUUCAAUCCCCAGUGGAACCA